rnacentral:rRNA from 1 species
ACGUUCGGAUUGUAGUCUGNAACCCGACUACAUGAAGCUGGAAUCGCUAGUAAUCGCGAAUCAGAAUGUCGCGGUGAAUACGUUCCCGGGUCUUGUACACACCGCCCGUCACACCAUGGGAGUCGGAAAUGCCCGAAGUCAGUGACCCAACCGUAAGGAGGGAGCUGCCGAAGGUGGAGCCGGUAACUGGGGUGAAGUCGUAACAAGGUAUC